rnacentral:tRNA from 1 species
AGGACAGUAGCUCGAAUUGGUAGAGCGCCGGUCUCCAAAACCGGAUGAUGGGGGUUCGAGUCCCUCCUGUCCUG